rnacentral:rRNA from 1 species
CGGACGGGUGAGUAACGCGUGGGUAACCUGCCCUGUACAGGGGGAGUAACAGUCAGAAAUGACUGCUAAUACCGCAUAAGACCACAGCACCGCAUGGUGCAGGGGUAAAAACUCCGGUGGUACAGGAUGGACCCGCGUCUGAUUAGCUGGUUGGUGAGGUAACGGCUCACCAAGGCGACGAUCAGUAGCCGGCUUGAGAGAGUGAACGGCCACAUUGGGACUGAGACACGGCCCAAACUCCUACGGGAGGCAGCAUG